CGCAGUACUUGGUGCUGUGGAAAAGGUAGAGAGUAGAUAGGCUCAGUACUCACUCUUCAGUCAGGGUUUAAGAGACAGGCAUCGCACAAACAGGACAUAUGACUCCAUUUUAGCCAAACGGCAUGAUUUUUAGGUGCUGGGUACCUGGAUGGGGAGUAAAGGAGACCUCUGUGAACAUAUGAUGGCCAAGUUAUAACUGAAGAAGCUCAGAGGGGAAACACAGACUGCUUUGUACCUAAAGAUGAAGAAAUUGAGAUUCAAAUUGAUCAUCAUUUAUCCACAUUUGAAUGACUGCGAAGCACCAUAGCCAGGUGCUGUUUUAUCAUCCUGCUGAUAUUCUAAGAGAUUUGAGGAAAUGCUGCAGUCUCAAAGGGAGGGAUUCCCAAUUAGUUGCCAUAUGAAAACCCUUCCUGGAGCUGGAAAAGAAGAUGGGUUUGAAAACGAUUCCAAUAUUCUUAGAGCUUUGUUUGUAAAAUGUGACCUUGUUUUUGAUUCU